GACGAACGCUGGCGGCGUGCUUAACACAUGCAAGUCGAACGGAAAGGCCCUGCUUUUGUGGGGUGCUCGAGUGGCGAACGGGUGAGUAACACGUGAGUAACCUGCCCUUGACUUUGGGAUAACUUCAGGAAACUGGGGCUAAUACCGGAUAGGAGCUCCUGCUGCAUGGUGGGGGUUGGAAAGUUUCGGCGGUUGGGGAUGGACUCGCGGCUUAUCAGCUUGUUGGUGGGGUAGUGGCUUACCGAGGCUUUGACGGGUAGCCGGCCUGAGAGGGUGACCGGCCACAUUGGGACUGAGAUACGGCCCAGACUCCUACGGGAGGCAGCAGUGGGGAAUAUUGCACAAUGGGCGGAAGCCUGAUGCAGCAACGCCGCGUGCGGGAUGACGGCCUUCGGGUUGUAAACCGCUUUCGCCUGUGACGAAGCGUGAGUGGCGGUAAUGGGUAAAGAAGCACCGGCUAACUACGUG
rnacentral:rRNA from 1 species